AUUGAACGCUGGCGGCAUGCCUUACACAUGCAAGUCGAACGGCAGCACGGGUGCUUGCACCUGGUGGCGAGUGGCGAACGGGUGAGUAAUAUAUCGGAACGUACCUUAUCGUGGGGGAUAACGCAGCGAAAGCUGUGCUAAUACCGCAUACGCCCUGAGGGGGAAAGCGGGGGAUCGCAAGACCUCGCGCGAUUAGAGCGGCCGAUGCCUGAUUAGCUUGUUGGUGGGGUAAAAGCCCACCAAGGCGACGAUCAGUAGCUGGUCUGAGAGGACGAUCAGCCACACUGGGACUGAGGCACGGCCCAGACUCCUACGGGAGGCAGCAGUGGGGAAUUUUGGACAAUGGGGGCAACCCUGAUCCAGCAAUGCCGCGUGAGUGAAGAAGGCCUUCGGGUUGUAAAGCUCUUUUGUCAGGGAAGAAACACCGGCUCUAACACAGUCCGGGAAUGACGGUACCUGAAGAAUAAGCACCGGCUAACUACGUGCCAGCCGCCGCCGUAA
rnacentral:rRNA from 1 species